rnacentral:rRNA from 1 species
GGGUUGUGAGGUUAAGCGACUAAGCGUACACGGUGGAUGCCCUGGCAGUCAGAGGCGAUGAAGGACGUGCUAAUCUGCGAUAAGCGUCGGUAAGGUGAUAUGAACCGUUAUAACCGGCGAUUUCCGAAUGGGGAAACCCAGUGUGUUUCGACACACUAUCAUUACGUGAAUACAUAGCGUAAUGAAGCGAACCGGGGAACUGAAACAUCUAAGUACCCCGAGGAAAAGAAAUCAACCGAGAUUCCCCCAGUAGCGGCGAGCGAACGGGGAGCAGCCCAGAGUCUGAAUCAGCUUGUGUGUUAGUGGAACGGUCUGGAAAGUCCGACGGUACAGGGUGAUAGUCCCGUACACCAAAAUGCACAGGUUGUGAACUCGAAGAGUAGGGCGGGACACGUGGUAUCCUGUCUGAAUAUGGGGGACCAUCCUCCAAGGCUAAAUACUCCUGACUGACCGAUAGUGAACCAGUACCGUGAGGGAAAGGCGAAAAGAACCCCGGCGAGGGGAGUGAAAAAGAACCUGAAACCGUGUACGUACAAGCAGUGGGAGCCUCUUUAUGGGGUGACUGCGUACCUUUUGUAUAAUGGGUCAGCGACUUAUAUUCUGUAGCAAGGUUAACCGUAUAGGGGAGCCGAAGGGAAACCGAGUCUUAACUGGGCGUUAAGUUGCAGGGUAUAGACCCGAAACCCGGUGAUCUAGCCAUGGGCAGGUUGAAGGUUGGGUAACACUAACUGGAGGACCGAACCGACUAAUGUUGAAAAAUUAGCGGAUGACUUGUGGCUGGGGGUGAAAGGCCAAUCAAACCGGGAGAUAGCUGGUUCUCCCCGAAAGCUAUUUAGGUAGCGCCUCGUGAAUUCAUCUUCGGGGGUAGAGCACUGUUUCGGCUAGGGGGUCAUCCCGACUUACCAACCCGAUGCAAACUGCGAAUACCGAAGAAUGUUAUCACGGGAGACACACGGCGGGUGCUAACGUCCGUCGUGAAGAGGGAAACAACCCAGACCGCCAGCUAAGGUCCCAAAGUCAUGGUUAAGUGGGAAACGAUGUGGGAAGGCACAGACAGCCAGGAUGUUGGCUUAGAAGCAGCCAUCAUUUAAAGAAAGCGUAAUAGCUCACUGGUCGAGUCGGCCUGCGCGGAAGAUGUAACGGGGCUAAACCAUGCACCGAAGCUGCGGCAGCGACACUAUGUGUUGUUGGGUAGGGGAGCGUUCUGUAAGCCGUUGAAGGUGUACUGUGAGGUAUGCUGGAGGUAUCAGAAGUGCGAAUGCUGACAUAAGUAACGAUAAUGCGGGUGAAAAACCCGCACGCCGGAAGACCAAGGGUUCCUGUCCAACGUUAAUCGGGGCAGGGUGAGUCGACCCCUAAGGCGAGGCCGAAAGGCGUAGUCGAUGGGAAACAGGUUAAUAUUCCUGUACUUGGUGUUACUGCGAAGGGGGGACGGAGAAGGCUAUGUUAGCCGGGCGACGGUUGUCCCGGUUUAAGCAUGUAGGCGGAGGUUCCAGGUAAAUCCGGUACCUUUUUAACGCUGAGGUGUGAUGACGAGGCACUACGGUGCUGAAGUAACAAAUGCCCUGCUUCCAGGAAAAGCCUCUAAGCAUCAGGUAACACGAAAUCGUACCCCAAACCGACACAGGUGGUCAGGUAGAGAAUACCAAGGCGCUUGAGAGAACUCGGGUGAAGGAACUAGGCAAAAUGGUGCCGUAACUUCGGGAGAAGGCACGCUGAUAUGUAGGUGAAGCGGUUUACCCGUGGAGCUGAAAUCAGUCGAAGAUACCAGCUGGCUGCAACUGUUUAUUAAAAACACAGCACUGUGCAAACACGAAAGUGGACGUAUACGGUGUGACGCCUGCCCGGUGCCGGAAGGUUAAUUGAUGGGGUUAUCCGUAAGGAGAAGCUCUUGAUCGAAGCCCCGGUAAACGGCGGCCGUAACUAUAACGGUCCUAAGGUAGCGAAAUUCCUUGUCGGGUAAGUUCCGACCUGCACGAAUGGCGUAAUGAUGGCCAGGCUGUCUCCACCCGAGACUCAGUGAAAUUGAACUCGCUGUGAAGAUGCAGUGUACCCGCGGCAAGACGGAAAGACCCCGUGAACCUUUACUAUAGCUUGACACUGAACACUGGUCCUUGAUGUGUAGGAUAGGUGGGAGGCUUUGAAAUGUGGACGCCAGUCUGCAUGGAGCCAUCCUUGAAAUACCACCCUUUAAUGGCUGGUGUUCUAACGUGGACCCGUUACCCGGGUUGCGGACAGUGUCUGGUGGGUAGUUUGACUGGGGCGGUCUCCUCCUAAAGAGUAACGGAGGAGCACGAAGGUUAGCUAAUCCUGGUCGGACAUCAGGAGGUUAGUGCAAAGGCAUAAGCUAGCUUGACUGCGAGAGUGACGGCUCGAGCAGGUGCGAAAGCAGGUCUUAGUGAUCCGGUGGUUCUGAAUGGAAGGGCCAUCGCUCAACGGAUAAAAGGUACUCCGGGGAUAACAGGCUGAUACCGCCCAAGAGUUCAUAUCGACGGCGGUGUUUGGCACCUCGAUGUCGGCUCAUCACAUCCUGGGGCUGAAGUAGGUCCCAAGGGUAUGGCUGUUCGCCAUUUAAAGUGGUACGCGAGCUGGGUUUAGAACGUCGUGAGACAGUUCGGUCCCUAUCUGCCGUGGGCGCUGGAGAAUUGAGGGGGGCUGCUCCUAGUACGAGAGGACCGGAGUGGACGCAUCACUGGUGUUCGGGUUGUCAUGCCAAUGGCAUUGCCCGGUAGCUAAAUGCGGAAGAGAUAAGUGCUGAAAGCAUCUAAGCACGAAACUUGCCCCGAGAUGAGUUCUCCCUGAGACUAUAAGUCUCCUGAAGGAACGUUAAAGACGAUGACGUUGAUAGGUCGGGUGUGUAAGUGUAGCGAUACAUUGAGCUAACCGAUACUAAUGAACCGUGAGGCUUAACCUUACAACGCCGAAGGUGUUU